rnacentral:rRNA from 1 species
UACAGAGGGUGCGAGCGUUAAUCGGAAUUACUGGGCGUAAAGCGCGCGUAGGCGGCUUUGCAAGUCGGGUGUGAAAUCCCCAGGCUUAACCUGGGAACUGCAUUCGAGACUGCAUUGCUAGAGUAUGGGAGAGGGCAGUGGAAUUUCCGGUGUAGCGGUGAAAUGCGUAGAUAUCGGAAGGAACAUCAGUGGCGAAAGCGGCCCACUGGGUCUUUUCUGACGCUGAGGAACGAAAGCUAGGGUAGCGAACGGG